GUGUGUGUGUGUGUGUGUGUGUGUGUGUGUGUGUGUGUGUGUGUGUGUGUGUGUGUGUGUGUGUGUUGUGUGUGUGUGUGUGCCCUGCUUGAGACUCUAAGGUACCCCUAAGGUUCCACUGAGCUCCUGAUCACGAGCACUAAUGAACAGAGAAAGCUGCACUGCUUAACAUUCAGACAGGGCUGCGCUGAUAAGAACGGAUGAACGGAUGAAGGAGGGAAUGAAUGAAGGAGUGAAUGGAUGAAGGAGUGAAUGGAUGAAGGAGUGAAUGGAUGAAGGCUCCUCAUUCAUAACCUGUCAGCGGUGGCUGAUAAGUAUCUUCUGUGCUUCCUCCCAGAGCUAAUAAAACACGACUAAAUAAAGACGUCUCACGGUCGUCCCCGCAUGGCUUCGUUGUCAGGGAAAUGAGAUCUGGAACGACAUGAGCGCACGGGGGGGGGGGUGAGCUGGAGCUCCGGGUGGAGGAGGGGGGGGGCUGAGCUGGAGCUCCGGGUGGAGGAGGCGGGGCUUCGGCCCCGCGGUGAUGGGCGUCCUCCAGAGCAGGCGAGGCGAUCAGCCGCCCGUCAGUCCUCUCUACCUGGGGGAGGAGGAGCCCGUCCUCUCUACCUGGGGGAGGAGGAGCCCGUCGGUCCUCUCUACCUGGGGGAGGAGGAGCCCGUCGGUCCUCUCUACCUGGGGGAGGAGGAGCAGCCCAACGGGGACAGCGUCUCUGAGGCUGGGCCGAGGCCGCAGGCCACUCCCUCUCUGGGGGGAUCUGGGUCGGUUGGUUGGUUGGUUGGUUGGUUGGGUUGGUUGGUUGGGUUGGUUGGGUUGGUUGGGUUGGUUGGGUCGGUUGGUUGGUUGGGUGGGUUGGUUGGUUGGGUUGGUUGGUUGGUUGGUUGGGUUGGUUGGUUGGGUUGGUUGGGUUGGUUGGGUUGGUUGGUUGGGUUGGUUGGUUGUUGGUAGGGUUGGUUGGGUUGGUUGGUUGGUUGUUGGUAGGGUUGGUUGGGUUGGUUGGGUUGGUUGGUUGGUUGUUGGUAGGGUUGGUUGGGUUGGUUGGGUUGGUUGGUUGGUUGGGUUGGUUGGUUGGGUUGGUUGGUUGGUAGGGUUGGUUGGGUGGGUUGGUUGGUUUGUCGGGUUGGUUGGUUGGGUUGGUUGGUUGUUGGUAGGGUUGGUUGGGUUGGUUGGGUUGGUUGGUUGGGUUGGUUGGGUUGGUUGGGUUGGUUGGGUUGGUUGGUUGGGUUGGUUGUUUGGGUUGGUUGGGUUGGUUGGUUGUUGGUAGGGUUGGUUGGGUUGGUUGGUUGGUUGGUUGGGUUGGUUGGUUGGUAGGGUUGGUUGGGUUGGUUGGUUGUUGGUAGGGUUGGUUGGGUUGGUUGGUUGGGUUGGUUGGUUGGUAGGGUUGGUUGGGUUGGUUGGUUGUUGGUAGGGUUGGUUGGGUUGGUUGGUUGGUUGUUGGUAGGGUUGGUUGGUUUGGUUGGUUGUUGGUAGGGUUGGUUGGUUUGGUUGGUUGUGUACGGUUUCAUUCUGCCUCUAUAAACAGCAGGGUUCUGGUGAACCCGUUCAUUAUCAUGCCCAUACGUGGCCUUUGGUGUUCCGGGCGUUGUUCCUGCUUAUGUCUUUAGAAGCUGUGACAGAAGCCAGGGUUUAGGGUGUUUGAGGGGGGGGGGGGCCUGGAGAUCAUAGGACCGGCUCCAGGAAACCGUCUGACCAGAGUCCACCUGCAGAAUGCCCCCCCCCCCCCUCCUCUGUGACCACGUGACCUUCAGCUCGUACACGUGUGGAGAUAUAGCUUCCUAUAUGAGUAACCUUUAUGGGGAGGAAGAAUGAAAUGGGGAACAGAAUCAACCUUUGGUAGUCUUCUGCUCUGUGAAAUGCUACCAAUCCAUGCGUCAUUAUACCAG
ensembl:lncRNA